CCUAUACUACCUCAAAGGACUGCUAAACUGUCUCUUCCCAAAUGCACCAGAAUAGCAGCUGCAUCCUAAGUCUUCCUUGCCCUAUAAUCCUUCUAUCUCAAACUAAGCAUGAAGGCACCCCUACUCUUGGCUAUACCCAAAGAAUCUCAAGCAAAAAAGCAAAUGUGGCCAAACCUCCUUUGCAAUCCUGUAAUAAAGAGAAAGUGAUUGCCAUUUCCUUAGCCCACUUGGGCAUAAAAAGACCAGUUAGGCUGAAUCUUUCUCCACUGUGUUAUAUUCUGAAUAGUAAUCUUCCCAUUGAGCUGAGCACACAAAGCAAUGCAUAGAGGAUGAGACUUUUAGUUCUCAUUCCUAGAUGCACUUAUAAGAAAGGGCUAUCUAAAAUAAGAAAAGAAAGGGCUAUCUGAUGAUCAAUCCAUGUGAUAAGAAUUUACCUGAAAACUUAAUCUCCAUAAUGUAACAUCUAAACUCACUUGUGAUUAUGUGAUAAUCUGCUAGAGGAGCAUCCUUAUCUGCACAGAUUUAAAUAUCAUGCAAAAAAAAAUCAGCAAUAAAAUUGUUUAUGUGACGUGAUGAAGGGCUGAAUCUCAAAUCAAAAUGUCAUGAUUUUAAAUAAUUUGCAACAAUUUGACACCUUGUUUAGGUUGCAUCCAUAGUUCUUUGUAUGAAAUUCUGUCUCAUUCUAUUUGUGAAUGGUACUUUUGUUUUGCUACUCCAAAGUGUUGGUAAAAUCUACGUAUCUGGUCCAAUUUGUUUGAUUGCUUGUUCAGGUUUCCUUGGGUCAUUUAAAUUGUUGUCUUGUUGCAACAGUUGGGGAUUCUCCUUAGCGUGAGAGUUUUAUUAGGACUUCGUCUUAGAUUACUAAUUUUAUUAUUCAAAUGAUAAAAGGUUUAGUAUAUCUCAUGUUGUUUUUUAUUGAUUUCCACCAGUUUUGUUGUAUUCUAUUAUUCUCACACAACACUUGCGCCUGAGCAAUUUCUCUUCCCUCUAUAUUCCCCAAUCAGAUUCUUUGCUUUUUCUACAACCAUUUUUGCAAGCGUGAGAAUCAAAGUGAAGUCAAUGAGUUAAGUUCCUUUAUUAUCAGGAUUCUCUCUCUCUCUUUCUCCUAAUCUUGGUGCUGUCAUCAUCAUUUUAUUGUUGACCUCUUGGUUAUAAUGUUCUUGACACUAAUAUUCUCCAAAUUUCAUAUCUCAAUUCAAAUCUUCUCAUUCUUAAUGUCAAUCGCUUCUCAUGUGAAUAUUUACUGGAUCUGCACUGCAAAUGACUCUUCAAAUUCUACAUAUUAGCAAUAUGCAUGGAAAUAAGAAUUUAAUUACUAAACUUGAUAAACAAUUUGGGUUUCUUCUAGUUUUGUUCCUGAUUUUGGCAAAUAAGAUCACUGAUUGUGGCAAUUCAAGAUGCUGGUCACCUCCAAACUUUUUAAGGAGUGCAUCAAUCUGUACAGACUUGGAGAGAACUUUAUUUUAGUUCUUUUUUUUUAUAGUCACUCUCUCUUCUCGUAUACAUGUUCCUUUUUUUUCAAAAAUCAUAGAAUGAACUUUCUCUCAAGAUUUUUUCCUCUUUGGAAUUCGUGGCUCAUUUGUUGCUACAUUCGAUCCUUCUAUGUGUCUGGGUUUACAUUUUGGUUACUUUUAUAAUGCCAAAUUCCCUACUUCAGAGAAAACAAUGUUCCUGACUUUGGGCCCGUUUGGCACCAGCUUUUUUCUUGGCUUUUUAGCUUAAAAUAAGUAAAAAAGCCAAUCAGAGUUUGCUUUUUGCUUUUCUAUUUGGCUUUUUUGCUUAGUUUUAGGUAACCUAUCACUCCCAAAGCAAAAAAAUUAAAAAUUCUUAGCCUUUUUGGUAGCAAGCUUAAAAAAAACUUGACUUUUAAGCCCUACCAAACGGAGCCUUUCUGUGGAGUUACUGGUGCAGGGAAUUUCUCAUUAGUUGCUAAGUUGGUUUUCUUGAAUUUAACUUACUAGAAAUUCUUGGUCUGUCGUCUAUUCAUCCCUUAUAAUCAUACCAUAAUUGAGCUAUUGUGGGAUGACUUCUAAGAUCUCAUACCCUGCAUUCUUGGUGCUCGUAGUUUAUGUUAUAUUCUCUUUGUUUUCAUCCCAUUAAACAUUGGUUCAAGCCUUCUUAUCUAGACGAAUGCUUUCAUCAGGGUUUUAUCAAAGUUUUCCCUCCUCAGGACUGAUUCGACCAUAUCCUUUACCCUUCCAAAAUGUAAUAUCUGAUCCGAGGUAAUAUGAUUGUUUGAAAUGGUACCAUAAUAAUUGAAUAUUAACAACUAUUGUGCCACAGCCACUUAAAAGAAUCUUUGCUGAUUGACACUUCUAAAUAUGUGAAUUCUGAAUCAAAUCUAUCAAGUGUAUCAACGUUAUUGCUAAAUAUAGACGUAUGGACGAUUAUCGGAUCAAAC
rnacentral:lncRNA from 1 species